UACACUACCCAGAAUCCUCAGCGCGGCCGGGACUACGCUACCCAGCAUCCUCGGCGCGGCCCGGGGCUAUACGACCGUCCGUGUCGCAUCCCCUCGGUGGACUACACUCCCCAGAGUCCUCGGAAGUCGUCCAGAUACACGCCCCAGAAUGUUGGGCAUAGCCGUCACCGGGGACUGCGCGACCCGGAAUCCUUGGAAGGACUCCUCGGAAGGACUCCUCUCUGACGGGUGGUGCGAGCCCAUGGUCUUUUGGACGCGGAGGGAUCCUUUCAGAUCCUGUGAUUUAUUUAUGUAGCCCUAUACAUACAUUAAGAAUAUUUUCCCAUUUCUAUGAUAUAGGUCUGCUGGAGUUUGCUGGGGGUCCACUCCAGACCCUGUUUACCUGGGUGUCACCAGCGGAGGCUGCAGAACAGCAAAGAUUAUUGCCUGUUCCUUUUUCUGGAAGCUUCAUCCCAGAAGGUCACCCGCCAGAUGCCAGCCAGAGCUUGUUGCAGGAAGUCAGGGACCCUGAACAGAGGGACUGACUGAAGCCAUGGCAGAAGAACAUGAAUUGUGAAGAUUUCAUGGACAUUUAUUAGUUCCCCAAAUUAAUUCUUUUAUAAUUUCCUAUGCCUGUCUUUACUGCAGUCUCUAAACACAAAUUGUGAAGAUUUCAUGGACACUUAUCACUUCCCCAGUCAAUACCCUUAUGAUUUCCUAUGCCUGUCUUUACUUUAAUCUCUUAAUCCUGUCAGCUGAGGAGGAUGUAUGUCACCUCAGGACCCUGUGAUAAUUGCGUUAACUGCACAAAUGGUAGAGCAUGUGUGUUUGAACAAUAUGAAAUCUGGGCAUCUUGAAAAAAGAACAGAAUAACAGCAAUGUUCAGGGAAUAAGAGAGAUAACCUUAAACUCUGGCCGCCGGUGAGCCGGGUGGAACAGAGCCAUAUUUCUCUUCUUUCAAAAGCAAAUGGGAGAAAUAUCACUGAAUUCUUUUUCUCAGCAAGGAACAUCCCUGAGAAACGGCAUGUGCCCCAAGGAUGGGUCUCUAAAAUGGCCCCCUUGGGUGUGGCCAUCUUCUAUGGUUGAAACUGUAGGGAUGAAAUAAAACCCAGUCUCCCAUAGCACUCCCAGGCUUAUUAGGAAGAGGAAAUUCCCACCUAAUAAAUUUUGGUCAGACUGAUUGCUCUCAAAUUCUGUCUCCUUAUAAGAUGUUAUCAAUGACAAUGGUGCCCAAAACUUCAUUAGCAAUUUUAAUUUUGCUGUGGUCCUGUGGUCCUGUGAUCUCGCCCUGCCUCCAUUUUCCUUGUGAUAUUCUAUUACCUCGUGAAGCACAUGAUCUCUGUGACCCACACCCUAUUCGUACACUCCCUCCCCUUUUGAAAAUCCCUAAAAAAAACUUACUGGUUUUGCGGCUUGUGGGGCCUCACGGAACUUACCGUCAUGUGAUGUCUGCCCUGGAUGCCCAGCUUUAAAAUUUCUCUCUUUUGUA